GUGCCAGCCGCCGCGGUAAUACGUAGGGUGCAAGCGUUAAUCGGAAUUACUGGGCGUAAAGCGUGCGCAGGCGGUUCGCUAAGACCGAUGUGAAAUCCCCGGGCUUAACCUGGGAAUGGCAUUUGUGACUGCACGGCUAGAGUGUGUCAGAGGGGGGUAGAAUUCCACGUGUAGCAGUGAAAUGCGUAGAGAUGUGGAGGAAUACCGAUGGCGAAGGCAGCCCCCUGGGAUAACACUGACGCUCAUGCACGAAAGCGUGGGGAGCAAACAGGAUUAGAUACCCCGGUAGUCC
rnacentral:rRNA from 1 species